rnacentral:rRNA from 1 species
AUUGAACGCUGGCGGCAGGCCUAACACAUGCAAGUCGGGCGGUAACAGGAAUCAGCUUGCUGAUUCGCUGACGAGCGGCGGACGGGUGAGUAAUGUCUGGGAAACUGCCUGAUGGAGGGGGAUAACUACUGGAAACGGUAGCUAAUACCGCAUAACGUCUUCGGACCAAAGUGGGGGACCUUCGGGCCUCAUGCCAUCAGAUGUGCCCAGAUGGGAUUAGCUAGUUGGUGGGGUAACGGCUCACCAAGGCGACGAUCCCUAGCUGGUCUGAGAGGAUGACCAGCCACACUGGAACUGAGACACGGUCCAGACUCCUACGGGAGGCAGCAGUGGGGAAUAUUGCACAAUGGGCGCAAGCCUGAUGCAGCCAUGCCGCGUGUAUGAAGAAGGCCUUCGGGUUGUAAAGUACUUUCAGCGGGGAGGAAGGUGUUGAGGUUAAUAACCACAGCAAUUGACGUUACCCGCAGAAGAAGCACCGGCUAACUCCGUGCCAGCCGCCGCAGUAACAC